CAGUGCAACGGGACCGCGAUUGCAGCUGAGUGUACCCGAGUGUUUGAAGGACCAGAGUCUUUACUAACGGACAGAUGAAAAGCGGAACGAGUAGUGGGUACCUCACUACGUCUGGAUGCUGGACCGGGGAGAAAACUGUCACGGCUCACAGUCUCCAUCCUCCAACGCCUGCACUGCUUCUCCCUCUCAGUUGGAAGACAGAACCAGUGUGCAGGCUGGAAUGCUUUGGCAGAUCCCACAAGAUGCAUGAUGUGGAUGUUUGAGGCUGACUAAGACAGAGGACUGCCAGAGAAAGAUAAGAGAAUGCCCUGCCCUCCUCCCAUAUACAGCCAUCUGUUAUCAUGUGACUGAAGUUUCAUAAGUGGGCCAUUUAACGACACCUGUGCAAGUUCCAUUCACCGAUGAAGACUGUGAGAUGCAGUAAAUAAAUAAUCUAGUACACAAAGUACCCAGCAGUUUGUGAACUGUACAAUAAUGCACAACAAUGCAAUAAAGAAUUAAGUUACCAUUGGUU